AUUGAACGCUAGCGGGAUGCUUUACACAUGCAAGUCGAACGGCAGCGCGGACUUCGGUCUGGCGGCGAGUGGCGAACGGGUGAGUAAUGUAUCGGAACGUGCCCAGUAGCGGGGGAUAACUACGCGAAAGCGUAGCUAAUACCGCAUACGCCCUACGGGGGAAAGCAGGGGAUCGUAAGACCUUGCACUAUUGGAGCGGCCGAUAUCGGAUUAGCUAGUUGAUGAGGUAACGGCUCACCAAGGCGACGAUCCGUAGCUGGUUUGAGAGGACGACCAGCCACACUGGGACUGAGACACGGCCCAGACUCCUACGGGAGGCAGCAGUGGGGAAUUUUGGACAAUGGGGGCAACCCUGAUCCAGCCAUCCCGCGUGUGCGAUGAAGGCCUUCGGGUUGUAAAGCACUUUUGGCAGGAAAGAAACGUCGCGGGCUAAUACCCCGUGGAACUGACGGUACCUGCAGAAUAAGCACCGGCUAACUACGUG
rnacentral:rRNA from 1 species